AUGAACGCUGGCGGCGUGCCUAAUACAUGCAAGUCGAACGAGUUCUCGUUGAUGAUCGGUGCUUGCACCGAGAUUCAACAUGGAACGAGUGGCGGACGGGUGAGUAACACGUGGGUAACCUGCCCUUAAGUGGGGGAUAACAUUUGGAAACAGAUGCUAAUACCGCAUAGAUCCAAGAACCGCAUGGUUCUUGGCUGAAAGAUGGCGUAAGCUAUCGCUUUUGGAUGGACCCGCGGCGUAUUAGCUAGUUGGUGAGGUAAUGGCUCACCAAGGCGAUGAUACGUAGCCGAACUGAGAGGUUGAUCGGCCACAUUGGGACUGAGACACGGCCCAAACUCCUACGGGAGGCAGCAGUAGGGAAUCUUCCACAAUGGACGCAAGUCUGAUGGAGCAACGCCGCGUGAGUGAAGAAGGCUUUCGGGUCGUAAAACUCUGUUGUUGGAGAAGAAUGGUCGGCAGAGUAACUGUUGUCGGCGUGACGGUAUCCAACCAGAAAGCCACGGCUAACUACGUGCCAGCAGCCGCGGUAAUACGUAGGUGGCAAGCGUUAUCCGGAUUUAUUGGGCGUAAAGCGAGCGCAGGCGGUUUUUUAAGUCUGAUGUGAAAGCCCUCGGCUUAACCGAGGAAGCGCAUCGGAAACUGGGAAACUUGAGUGCAGAAGAGGACAGUGGAACUCCAUGUGUAGCGGUGAAAUGCGUAGAUAUAUGGAAGAACACCAGUGGCGAAGGCGGCUGUCUGGUCUGUAACUGACGCUGAGGCUCGAAAGCAUGGGUAGCGAACAGGAUUAGAUACCCUGGUAGUCCAUGCCGUAAACGAUGAAUGCUAGGUGUUGGAGGGUUUCCGCCCUUCAGUGCCGCAGCUAACGCAUUAAGCAUUCCGCCUGGGGAGUACGACCGCAAGGUUGAAACUCAAAGGAAUUGACGGGGGCCCGCACAAGCGGUGGAGCAUGUGGUUUAAUUCGAAGCAACGCGAAGAACCUUACCAGGUCUUGACAUCUUUUGAUCACCUGAGAGAUCAGGUUUCCCCUUCGGGGGCAAAAUGACAGGUGGUGCAUGGUUGUCGUCAGCUCGUGUCGUGAGAUGUUGGGUUAAGUCCCGCAACGAGCGCAACCCUUAUGACUAGUUGCCAGCAUUUAGUUGGGCACUCUAGUAAGACUGCCGGUGACAAACCGGAGGAAGGUGGGGAUGACGUCAAAUCAUCAUGCCCCUUAUGACCUGGGCUACACACGUGCUACAAUGGAUGGUACAACGAGUUGCGAGACCGCGAGGUCAAGCUAAUCUCUUAAAGCCAUUCUCAGUUCGGACUGUAGGCUGCAACUCGCCUACACGAAGUCGGAAUCGCUAGUAAUCGCGGAUCAGCACGCCGCGGUGAAUACGUUCCCGGGCCUUGUACACACCGCCCGUCACACCAUGAGAGUUUGUAACACCCGAAGCCGGUGGCGUAACCCUUUUAGGGAGCGAGCCGUCUAAGGUGGGACAAAUGAUUAGGGUG
rnacentral:rRNA from 1 species